rnacentral:rRNA from 1 species
CUCAUAGCGUAUAUUAAUGUUGUUGCAGUUAAAAAGCUCGUAGUUGGAUUCCUGACCUGGGGUAGCCGGUCCGCCUUGCAAAAGGUGCGCACUGAGCGGCCUCGGUCAUCCUUGAGAAGAGCGGUCCUGGCAUUCAGUUGUCGGGGUCGGGAUUCUCGACGUUUACUGUGAAAAAAUCAGAGUGUUCAACGCAGGCUUACGCCUUGAAUACAUUAGCAUGGAAUAAUGAGAUAGGACCUUGGCGGUCUAUUUUGUUGGUUUGCACGCCGAGGUAAUGAUUAAAAGGGACGGUUGGGGUUCUUCGUAUUCAAUUGUCAGAGGUGAAAUUCUUGGAUUUAUGGAAGACGAACUGCUGCGAAAGCGUCGAACAAGGACGUUCUCAUUAAUCAAGAACGAAAGUUAGGGGAUCGAAGAUGAUUAGAUACCAUCGUAGUCUUAACCAUAAACUAUGCCGAUUCAGGAUUGGCGGUCGUUUGUUCUCGACUCCGUCAGCACUGUAUGAGAAAUCAAAAUCUUUGGGUUCCGGGGGGAGUAUGGGUCGCAAGGCUGAAACUUAAAGAAAUUGACGGA